GGUUCCCGGCGUGAACCAUCAAUGGUGACGGCAGCAGCCGACAGCUGAUGGGAAACAUCAGCUGCGGUGCCGACAUCGAGGGACAGCAGGACAGGUAAGUCUCCAUUUAUUAAAAGCCAGCAGCUGCAGUAUGUGUAGCUACUGGCUUUAAAAAAAAUAAAAAAUUCCCGGAACACUCCUUUAAAGCCAAGCUCCACCCAACAAUGUUCUCAUGUCUUCAGUAUUGCUGUAAUACAUACAACUGUGGUAAAUGAUGCUUGACGCUGAUGCAUCAUUAAAAAUACAGGUCUGUGCUAUGCAAAGGGGAUAAUUUCCCCGCACUUGUUAUACUCGGAGUCCAAUCUCCUUUGAAUCUACCAAGAACAUUUUCAACCAGGGUUCCUCCAGAGGUUGCUAGGGGUUCCUUGAGCGGUGUCUGAUUGACCUACCAUAUGAUGGUGCCUGCAGAGUUCUGGGUCCAACACCACUUGGCUCAGCUGUCUGUUAAGAGUGGCAUUCUGAUCACUGCUGUAAGGGGUAUUCUUCCCACUGAUCACCAAUGCAAGAGGCAUUUUCCCAGUUAUUCCCAAAUUAAUCUUAACAGGGGUUCCCUGAGACCUGAAAAGCAUUUCAAGGGUUUCUCUGGGAUAAAAAGACCUAAUUCUUCUGCUAUCUGCAUGAGUCACUUCUGACAUGUUUUUCUGACACCAAGAGAAAAUAGGUGAGGGUUGGUAGCUCCAGAGCACGGCCUGUGAUUGACAGCAUCAGCUCUGUUACUGUGUACUGUGUGAAGGCGGUGGCUUCCUACAGUCACCUCUCAGUUCUACUCACCAAGCUCUACAGAGUGUAAAUUCAGCUUCCGCCCCCUGCUUUCUGAAGCUCAGAGUUCCCUUGUAAAUUCAGGACUUUGAAUAUAUGUAGAGGAGAGAGGGCUGCAUAUAAAACAGGUACAACUUAUGUAAAGGGGUUGGUUUAAUUGUUUAAUUUAUGUGUGUCACCUGAGGCCAGUCACUUCACUGGGUAUAAGGGUUUGCAACCACUUUAAAUAAUAAUAAAAAAAACUGAUACAAGUACAUUCACAUACAAUAUAUAGAUAUCUAUACAUCUCAAGUAUGCCUCACACAAGAGAUAUGCAGGCUGUUAUUUUUGACCUUUUCUGAAAGUGCUUGUUACCUGGCUGGCACAAGUACAGAGAUAAGGAAUCCCAACUUUUUAUUUGCUAUAUGCUGGUUCUGGGUCUGUAACUCAGAAUUUGUGAAGCCAGACAAAGCCAAGCAUUUCAUAUUUUCAGCAGAAUGCCAACAAUGUCAGCCCAUCGAACCCCAGUCCCACUACUAAGCCCUAUCAAGGUAUGGUGCCUUUGUUAGUGAAAGUAUUUGAAAUGUAUGUAAAGUAACUAACACAAUGUAAAUACUAUAAUAAUAUUGUGAGAAAAUGACUAAAAGUGGACUUUAUUUUGUAGUAACAACGCACAGUGAAGCUGUAUAGCUGAUUUUGUAAUAGAGUGACCUACAUAACCACAGAUUCUUGGCGGUUCAUAUUAUACAAUGAGAAACCGGAGCGACCAAAAUGUUUACUAAUAAAAUUGUAAACCGAAAUCAAA